UGGGGGAUAUUGCACAAUGGGGGAAACCCUGAUGCAGCGACGCCGCGUGUAGGAAGACGGUCCUCUGGAUUGUAAACUACUGUCUUCGGGGACGAUAAUGACGGUACCCGAGGAGGAAGCUCCGGCUAACUACGUGCCAGCAGCCGCGGUAAUACGUAGGGGGCAAGCGUUGUCCGGAAUUACUGGGCGUAAAGAGCACGUAGGCGGUAACCUAAGUCAGAUGUGAAAGACCAGGGCUUAACUCUGGGGUUGCAUACGAAACUGGGUAACUAGAGUGCAGUAGAGGUGAGCGGAAUUCGUGGUGUAGCGGUGAAAUGCUUAGAUAUCACGAAGAACUCCAAUUGCGAAGGCAGCUUGCUGGACUAUAACUGACACUGAGGCUCGAAAGUGUGGGUAUCAAACA
rnacentral:rRNA from 1 species